rnacentral:lncRNA from 1 species
UUGAAGUAAAGCUAGGGGGGGUUAAAAUCUAAAGUUUUAUUCAAAUUUUAUUUAAAAUUUAUGGAUUCAAAUUGAAAUUAUAUAUAACGACCUGACCCGCUAACAACAAUAACUCGUUGGGCCCAAAUCACCGAUCCAAAAUGCUUAAGCCCAGUUAUUAUUACUAGUAUGUAGGCCUUAUAUAAACUGAUCGGAAUCAGUAUCCCAUCCGAUGUGGGACUAUUGGGGUGUCACAAUUCUCCUAUUUUUCUUGAUGCAGGAUUGGAAUAAAACUUCUACAUGUACGUACGUAGUCUGUAUAUAUAAUGUGAUUAGUGCCUUUAAUGUAGCUUAUUUUUACUGGUUAUUUUGUUUUACUGCUUAAUUAAUCUUCCCUUGGAGACCGAACAAUUAAUUAGCAAGCUGAAGUAUAUUCUGAGUGUCACAAAUAUUUGAGUUUCAGUAAGGAUAAUUACGUUAUAUAUUUUGGAGAAUGAGAUUCGGAGAUGUAUGUUUAAUUAGCGAAGCGCACGAAGGUCAAAGAGUAAUAAUCUGUUACGUAUGGUCAAUGAAACUCCUAUUACAUUCAAUGAAACGUAUAGGCAAAGGGCUUGGUGGUUGAUAUUCGAUACCCAAGUUCGAAUCCUAGUUGAUUCACAUUUCCAGCUAAGUUUUUUUUUCUAAAUGAAAUAAACGAAGCGGGUAGCGUGCUAACUAUCUCUCUCAAAAAAAAAAAAAAAAAAAAAAAAAAAAAUCCCUAUACAUUCCUUUCGAAAAAAAAAAAAGAAAAAAAGAAAAAAGAACUGUAUGUUCUAAUUUUCUUUUUUUCCCUAUGAUCUGAUGAUGUUGUUGAGCUAGCUUCUUUGAAGUGGACAAAGUAUCCCAGGUCUAUCAAAAUGUGUUUCAAAUUAUUUUCCCAUUCUUUACCAGCAUAACAAGUACCCAGAUUAAAGUUGUAAAUAUAAUUUCGAAUCUAAUUUAAGUUUGAAUUUAAAUUUAAAUUUAAUUUAAAAUCUAAAGUUUCUUUUUUUUUGAGAAAACAGGGAUAUACCCUAUUUGUGAUUGAAGUAAAGCUAGGGGGGGUUAAAAUCUAAAGUUUUAUUCAAAUUUUAUUUAAAAUUUAUGGAUUCAAAUUGAAAUUAUAUAUAACGACCUGACCCGCUAACAACAAUAACUCGUUGGGCCCAAAUCACCGAUCCAAAAUGCUUAAGCCCAGUUAUUAUUACUAGUAUGUAGGCCUUAUAUAAACUGAUCGGAAUCAGUAUCCCAUCCGAUGUGGGACUAUUGGGGGUGUUAAAUUAUAAUUUUAAGUCUGAAUAUAAAUAAAUUGAAAUUUAAUUUUAUAUUUUAAAUUAUCCGUUCAAUUUCAAAUUUUAUUUUUUAAAAAAAAUAUAUUUAAAGUUUUGACAUUGUUUUAAAACUUUGAUGUAAAUUUUUAAUAUUUAAUUUUCCGUUUGAAUUUAAACUAAUAUAUUAUAAAGAUACAAUUAGCAUAUUAUUUUAUAUUUUUUAUAUCUAUCUGAACCAAAUACCGACAAUAGGAAUGAUUUAUUUCGAUUCCGAUUCGAGUGGCGAACCAAAAAAAAAGAGGUAAUGAAUCAUUUCGAUUCUGUUUCUGGCUUAUUCUCAUUUCAACUUCGAACUAAACACACCAGCGUGUUUGGUUCGCUUCUUUUUCACCCUGAAAUCAUAAUCGGAAUGGGUGAAUCCGUUUGUAGGUGUUUGGUAUGCGGAAGUCCCAUUCCAAUUCCGAUUACCGAGCGGAAUGGAAAUCCUUCAAUCAUCUCUUUUUCCAAUCCGGCCUAGGAGGCCAGAUUGAAAGUUGAAUCCGGACAAAAUGGUUAUUUCUUCGGGUUAAAUUUAAUUUUCAACUUUUUAAUUAAAAUAUGAGUUUAAUUUUAGAAAUUAAAUUUAUAAUUUUAAAUUUUAAUUCAAAUUUGAAUUA